rnacentral:lncRNA from 1 species
AUUAAAUGAUAUAGUUGAUAAUGAAAUAGAAGAAUAAGUGGAAAGCAAAUAUGUUCAGACCACAGUCUCAACUUUUUAAACAGUAAAUGCAAUCCUUUACCAAGUGAGUUUUGUGCAAUGAUUUUAAUAUGGGUGAAUUACUCUUUAAUUGCACAAGCCUGGUGAUGUGCAUGCAGCAAGCCACAAAAGUUUCACUGAAUACUCUAUGCAAUUUUCUAGACAUUCUUCAAGGGAAGAUUUCUGGGAUUUGGUGAAAUCAUGUAAAAGAAGCAUUUAAUUGCAAAAAGUGAGCUGAGUACUAUUGACUGUAUGCUCCUUUAUCAAUAUAUUCAGAAACACAGAAAGAGAGCAAGCUGGAGAUGGUCAGCCCUGAGUUGAGCGGCUCCGAGUAUUUUCACAUGGUGAUAAAGCCUGGAACACAGCUGGGCUGUGAUCCCACCUCCAAGCUACUCAACCUAACUGUUCCCACUGACGGCUUAUUGUUGACCACUUCUCAUUAAGUACCUCAGCCUUUUGAGCAUCUUGUCUUGACCACCACCAGGAUAUGGAGUGGCUUGGAUUGCACAAAGUCAUGGAACAGUAGUGAAUUGUAUGUGGCAAGCCUGAAAACGUUCCUUCUCUGGUUUAGGAAAAGACUGAAACAUUUCCAAAACAUGCCUGUGACAAACUAGAUAACUAACACGUUCAUCUAUUUGAAAGCCUUAAUCAUAUUCUCAAGAAUAUGAGGAUUCGUAUUUUAAAUAGCAAUGAAUGCAUUAAUAUUUGCCUGAGUGUGCGUGCAUCCUGAAGCAACUAAUCAGGGAAGUGAACUCCACUGAUUCUGUUUAGCUGUUUGGAAUAUCAGCUUUGAAGCUCAGUUGCUGCUAUUUACUGUUCAGACACUGGUCAUGGAAUGUAGGCAAAUGACAGAAUUUAAACCACAUUGGCUUGGAAAUGAAGGAUUCAAAGUGUGGUAAAAAAAACAGAGGAAGUUAUGAGAAGAGGGUGGGGGGAAAAAAAAAAGAGAGAAGCAUAUAAUAAAAAGAGCAGUGGGCAGUGGAGGAGCA